CAAAUGUGAAGGAUUGGUUCGAAAAGGGUCAUAAAAAGUUAUGGGCAAGAAGCAAAUUCAAUGAAGUAUGCAAGGUCGACUAUAUAAACAAUAAUCUUGCCGAGUGUUUCAAUGCGAGGGUUAGAAAAAUCAAGGGGCUUCAUUUGGUGGAAAUGUUGGACAAGAUUAGACAGAUGAUUAUGGAAAAGUUUGAGUUACGUCAGAGAAUUGCAGGUGCAAAGUUUGUUGGCCAUAAAAUAAUUCCAUCUGUGAUGAAGAAAUUACUUGCAAAAACUAGAGGUUUGAAGAUGACAAUGAUAAGGCGUGCGCCAUUUGAGGCAGAGGUGACAGCCCAGGACAGAGAAAAUAGGGAAUGGAGGUACCCUGUAAACUUAGAAAAGAAGACAUGUAGUUGUAGACAAUGGCAAAUUUCUGGGUUGCCGAGCAUCCAUGUCCUGUUCUUCAUUACUUCAUUGCGUGGUCCGGCUGCUGAAAUCGACCAAUAUGUGGAUGAGUAUUAUUCUGUCGCCAAGUUUAAUGCAACAUAUGCUGAGAAUAUUCCUUCUAUUGAGUGAGAAUGUUCCUUCUAUUGAGUCACAGUAUCAGUGGGACAUCAUUGAUCCAGGAUUCAUUCUCCACGCUCCAUUGCAGACAAUAGCACCAGGAAGGCCAAAGAAGACUAGAAUAAGAUCAAGUGCAGAGGGCACUGGACUUGGCCCUAGGAAGCGAAAAUGUAAAAGAUGUGGAGAAUUAGUACAUUUUGCUAGCAAAUGUAAAAAUGCAGUUGAUCCAUCUUUUGGAGAAGAUCAGCAUUGGGGUGCAGAAAAUGCAGUAGAGCCCUCCAGGUAUUGUAGGUUUGCUUAUUUUGUAAUAUUUAACUGUCGUGAAUCAAUAAUAAUUUGAUUUGUUGGACAGAAAAAAGAAUGCACCUAAGCGGAGGAAAAAGAAGGAAGGAGAAGACACUAUUGCUAUAGUGCCACUAGCUGAGCCCUCCACUCUUGUGUCACAACAGAGGAAAAGGAAGAUGGGAAAAGAGGUGGUACGCACAACUGAAGACGGGAAAAGCAGGCGUCCUAUCCGAUCAAAGAAGAUUAGGUAGAUUCUGGAUUUGUAAUAUUUCUAUGUGUGCUUGAACUAUUUGUGGUGCAACCUAGAACUAAUUGUGUCUUCUAUUUGUGGCGGAACAUUAUGUAUGCAUAUUUUAUGCCCAGGUCUCGUGGAUUGCAGGUUCACUGAUGCGUAAAUGGCAUAUCCUAGACUACUACGUGUUGCUGCUUGUAUGGGAUCGUGUAAUCUUGUUUUGCAUCUGGGAGUCAGUGUGAACCAGCAGAUUAAGUAUC